UGGCUUCCCCUGGAUUCUCUGCUCUAGCCACCUGGCCUGUGUCUUCCUACUUCCUCAGAUGCCUGCCUUCAUGCCCCUACUGGAGUCACCCAGGACCAGCAGGAACAGACAUAACCAAACCAUACAUUUAACAGUCACUGAGGGUUUGCUUGCACAGGAUGGGAGCAAGUGCUGGAAAUUCAGACGCAGCCAGUUCACUGUGGUCAAAGUCUGUCGGUGAGCCUCCUGGGGCAAACAGAUGUGCGGGACCACAGUUAUUCCAACAAACUGUUCUACAUCUGCCUCCCUCAAGAUGCCCUGAAGCACCAUUGAAAAAGGACCAACCGACCAGGAGGAAGAUCAGCGGACGGCUUGAUUCAGUUCUAAAGGACAGGAAUAACAGUGCUUCUCUCUUCCCCUGUGAACGUAUUUCAAUGUCUGAUUGACGAUAACAAUGUGUGCAUUUUUUCUUAGAUGGCAGGGAGA
rnacentral:lncRNA from 1 species